rfam:Schistosoma rodhaini strain Burundi genome assembly, scaffold: SROB_scaffold0005749
GCACUGCUGAGGAGUCCCACAAUAGAACGGAGCGGUCGUCCAGUGC